UAAGGUGAUUACUCAAAAUCGUUAUUUGAAGAUGUAGAUUCAUUUCAAUACAGAAAUUUCGUCUAUAUAUUAAUUUUCACAAGUGUAUACCACGAAGAAGCUCUGAAGGUACAUUACUCCCAUUUUGUUUGGGUGUGAACCAUCGAUGUUUAUUUACAGCAAUAUCAAAGAAUAAGAUGAUGAUGGUAGAAAGAACUAUGGGCGUCAUGUGGCAAAUAUUACAUGCAUAUCGGACCAUGAGUUGUCAAUCUGUAUGAAAAGAUUUCCAAUACAACCAUAUUAUUGAGAAGGAAUGUUUACAUGCUAUACUCUCGUACUAGUAUUACAGGGUUCUUGUGGCGUCCACCUUAGACACACAUCUUUUUAACGAUGUCUAAAAAAAGACAGAACCAAUUUAAUGUCAUAUUUCCCUUGAAUACCAAGAAAGAAAUAAAUCCCGAAAUUAAUUUGAAACUUUGAUACUCAAUAGUUUCCCAGCAAAAUAUUCACAUCCCUUGGGGAUAAUUAGUGUUCGUCCAGUG
rnacentral:lncRNA from 1 species